UGGAACGGCCAUCAAAACUUUUUAGCUAGAGUAUGAUAGAGGAAAGCAGAAUUUCUAGUGUAGAGGUGAAAUUCGUAGAUAUUAGAAAGAAUACCAAUUGCGAAGGCAGCUUUCUGGAUCAUUACUGACACUGAGGAACGAAAGCAUGGGUAGCGAAGAGGAUUAGAUACCCUCGUAGUCCAUGCCGUAAACGAUGUGUGUUAGAUGUUGGAAAUUUAUUUUCAGUAUCGCAGUGAAAACAAUAAACACACCGCCUGGGGAGUACGACCGCAAGGUUAAAACUCAAAUGAAUUGACGGGGACCCGCACAAGUAGUGGAGCAUGUGGUUUAAUUCGAAGAUACGCGCAGAACCUUACCAACACUUGACAUGUUCGUCGCGACUCUAAGAGAUUAGAGUUUUCGGUUCGGCCGGACGAAACACAGGUGCUGCAUGGCUGUCGUCAGCUCGUGUCGUGAGAUGUUGGGUUAAGUCCCGCAACGAGCGCAACCCUCACUUUUAGUUGCCAUCAUUAAGUUGGGCACUCUGAAAGAACUGCCAGUGAUAAGCUGGAGGAAGGCGAGGAUGACGUCAAGUCCUCAUGGCCCUUACGUGUUGGGCUACACACGUGCUACAAUGGCAUUUACAAUAGGAAGCAAGGUGGCGACAUCAAGCAAAUCCUAAAAAAAUGCCUCAGUUCGGAUUGUACUCUGCAACUCGAGUACAUGAAGCUGGAAUUACUAGUAAUCGCGGAUCAGCGCGCCGCGGUGAAUACGUUCCCGGGUCUUGUACACACCGCCCGUCACACCAUGGGAGUUGGUUCUACCU
rnacentral:rRNA from 1 species